rnacentral:lncRNA from 1 species
UGAAAAGGAAAUAAGUAGAACAGAGCAUAUUAGUCAUAUUUUAUUUUCCAAUAUACUGUAAUUCAUAUUUGUUUGCAUCACGACACAUCAUUUAUCAUACAUUCAUUGAUAUAAUACCAAAAAAAAAAAAAAAGUUUCCUAGAAAUUUCUGAUUAGACAAAAUUUCAAAGUUAAUUAUAUGUAUGUGAAAAUCUGAACUUGAUUUUUAAGAUAAGUUAGUUUUGUUCUUGUUCAUAAUUCAUAAGUGUCAUUUCAUAUUAUUAUUUUUUAUUUAAGGGAUUAAGUGUCAUUUUCA